AGAGUUUGAUCCUGGCUCAGAACGAACGCUGGCGGUGCGUUUUAAGCAUGCAAGUCGAGGGGUAGAAGAUCUUCGGAUCUAUGAGACCGGCGAACGGGUGAGUAACACGUAGAUGAUCUGCCUUGAGGUUGGGGAUAGCCCAUGGAAACAUGGAGUAAUACCGAAUAAGCUCUGGAUACUUUGGUGACCAGAGGAAAGGCCCUUCGGGGUCGCCUUAAGAUGAGUCUGCGUCUGAUUAGCUUGUUGGUGGGGUAAAGGCCUACCAAGGCGAUGAUCAGUAGCCGGCCUGAGAGGGUGAUCGGCCACACUGGGACUGAGAUACGGCCCAGACUCCUACGGGAGGCAGCAGCUAAGAAUAUUCGGCAAUGGACGAAAGUCUGACCGAGCGACACCGCGUGGGUGAAGAAGGCGGAAACGUUGUAAAGCCCUUUUAUAAAUGAGGAAUAAGUAUCGGAGGUAAUGCCGGUAUGAUGACGUUAGUUUAUGAAUAAGCCCCGGCUAAUUACGUGCCGGCAGCCGCGGUAACACGUAUGGGGCAAGCGUUGUUCGGAUUAUUGGGCGUAAAGGGCGCGCAGGCGGUGAUACAAGUCUGAUGUGCAAGACCGAGGCUUAACUUCGGGACCGCAUUGGAAACUGUAUUACUAGAGUCUAGGAGGGGAAGUUGGAAUUUCAGGUGUAGGGGUGAAAUCUGUAGAUAUCUGAAAGAACACCAGUGGCGAAGGCGAACUUCUGGCCAUAGACUGACGCUGAGGCGCGAAAGCGUGGGUAGCAAACAGGAUUAGAUACCCUGGUAGUCCACGCCGUAAACGAUGUACACUAGGUGUUGGGGUUUUAGACCUCAGCGCCGCAGCUAACGCGAUAAGUGUACCGCCUGGGGAGUAUGCCGGCAACGGUGAAACUCAAAGGAAUUGACGGGGGCCCGCACAAGCGGUGGAGCAUGUGGUUUAAUUCGACGAUACGCGAGAAACCUUACCAGGGCUUGACAUAUACCGCGAUGUUGUAGAGAUACAGCAGUCCUUCGGGAGUGGUAUACAGGUGCUGCAUGGCUGUCGUCAGCUCGUGCCGUGAGGUGUUGGGUUAAGUCCCGCAACGAGCGCAACCCCUGCCGUCUGUUACCAGCAUUUAGUUGGGGACUCUGGCGGAACUGCCGGUGACAAACCGGAGGAAGGUGGGGACGACGUCAAGUCAUCAUGGCCCUUACGUCCUGGGCUACACACGUGCUACAAUGGCAGAUACAAAGCGCAGCAAUACAGUGAUGUACGAGCGAAUCGCAAAAAGUCUGCCUCAGUUCGGAUUGGAGUCUGAAACUCGACUCCAUGAAGGUGGAAUCGCUAGUAAUCGCGCAUCAGCAUGGCGCGGUGAAUACGUUCCCGGGCCUUGUACACACCGCCCGUCACACCACCCGAGUUGAAACAACCCGAAGUCGUUAGCCUAACCUUUAUGGAAGGCGGCGCCGAAGGUGGUUUCGGUAAGGGGGGUGAAGUCGUAACAAGGUA
rnacentral:rRNA from 1 species